rnacentral:rRNA from 1 species
AUCAAUCGAUUUUAUCAAAUAAAGUUUUUAUACCGAAAACGUUUGAUUUUAUUCUUAAUUGGGUUUGGUUCUACAUCGAGUCAGGUAGACUCGAUUAAAUUAUUUAUACGUUGUGAUAAAUUAUACGGUUGCGUUUAUAUCUGUUUGAUGGUUUUUUAUUUUAUGUUAUCUUUAGUGCCAGAAGGUUCUGAAGGUUUAAACAUCUUUAAUAUAUUGUUUUUAUUAAAGGGUUAGAGUUACCCUAUAAUUGUAAGUGUGUUACAACUUUUACAUGUAGUUCUUUAAGAUUUUAUUAUAUUUACCAUUUAUUUUUAAUUUCUAGCUUAUUCUUAUGAUUGUAUUAGUAAUUUUAACAUGGAUAAUGUUUCUCAUUAAUCGCCCGUCUGUUUAUUAAAAACAUUUCCACCCACGAAUAUUGUGUGGUAGUGCCUGCUCUAUGCUUUUGUAAAUGGCCGCAGUAUCUUGACUGUGCGAAGGUAGCAUAAUUAAUUGCCCUAUAAUUGAGGGCUUGUUUGAAUGGUUUGACGAGGUGAUACGUAACAAUACCCAUAUAAUUGAAGUUAAUUUGGGGGGCACAGAAUCCCCCUAGGUUAAUUAGACGGAAAGACCCCGGGAUCUUUUAUUUUUGUCUGGGGCAGAUUAUAAUAUUUCAUUUAUUAAUUAGACCCUUGUGGUUCAUUGGUGUAAGUUACCCCGGGGAUAACAGUGUAAUAGUUUAUAAGAGGCCAUAUCGAAUAAACUGCUUGCCACCUCGAUGUUGACUUAGGUUUAAACUCAGGCGCAGUAGUCUGGGUUGAUGGUCUGUU